rnacentral:rRNA from 1 species
UACGAAGGGGGCUAGCGUUGUUCGGAAUCACUGGGCGUAAAGCGCACGUAGGCGGAUCUUUAAGUCAGGGGUGAAAUCCCGAGGCUCAACCUCGGAACUGCCUUUGAUACUGGGGAUCUCGAGUCCGGGAGAGGUGAGUGGAACUGCGAGUGUAGAGGUGAAAUUCGUAGAUAUUCGCAAGAACACCAGUGGCGAAGGCGGCUCACUGGCCCGGAACUGACGCUGAGGUGUGAAAGCGUGGGGAGCAAACAGG